UUCAAUAACGUGCAUUAAAAACGGCUUGUUCGCAAAUGUAUUUUGAGUUUAAAUAGAGCGCAACAGAAAAUGAUGUGGGGCCUGCGUCAACGUGAUGCUAACAAAGAGAAUGCCUAUAAGGAUGCCGCCUGUCAUCGCUGCGGCGAUUCUGGUGCUGAUGCCGGUAAAGAAGAAACUCGGAUUCUGAGGAAGUAAAAGAGCCCAAACACUUCGAUGCUGAUAGUGAUAUAAGUCUAUCCACGAAGCGCAAUCGCGGAGCAAUAUCUGGCAAGCCCGGCAGUAGAUACCUUGGCUGGACGGGGACGUGGAGCAGCUGCGCGAAACGCAAAGUUUCCAACAGCGAUGAGGAUGAUGACAUUUCCGAAGAUGAGAAGUGGAGAAGAGGAACUGUCGGAAUUUGGCAGCGACCAAAGUGAGGAUGUACGCCCCAAAAAGAGUAGGAAGCCCACAAGGCCUGCGAGUAAUAGCAAAGCUAAUAAAAAGUCAUCACCAGUUGGAGAGGCGAAUGGUCGACCGACAAAAUAUAAAAAAAGAACCAUCC